AUUGAACGCUGGCGGCAUGCCUUACACAUGCAAGUCGAACGGUAACGGGCCUUCGGGUGCCGACGAGUGGCGAACGGGUGAGUAAUACAUCGGAACGUGCCCGAUCGUGGGGGAUAACGAGGCGAAAGCUUUGCUAAUACCGCAUACGAUCUACGGAUGAAAGCAGGGGACCGCAAGGCCUUGCGCGGACGGAGCGGCCGAUGGCAGAUUAGGUAGUUGGUGGGAUAGAAGCUUACCAAGCCGACGAUCUGUAGCUGGUCUGAGAGGAUGAUCAGCCACACUGGGACUGAGACACGGCCCAGACUCCUACGGGAGGCAGCAGUGGGGAAUUUUGGACAAUGGGCGCAAGCCUGAUCCAGCCAUGCCGCGUGCAGGAUGAAGGCCUUCGGGUUGUAAACUGCUUUUGUACGGAACGAAAAGCCUUCUUUUAAUACAGGAGGGUCAUGACGGUACCGUAAGAAUAAGCACCGGCUAACUACGUG
rnacentral:rRNA from 1 species